CGCAGCCGCGGUAAUUCCAGCUCCAAUAGCGUAUAUUAAAGUUGCUGCAGUUAAAAGCUCGUAGUUGAAUUUCGGGACUAAUAUGUCGGUCGUGCCUCGGUACGUACUGGUUUAUUGGUUUCUCCUUUCUGAAGAACCAUGAUGUCAUUUAUUUGGUGUCGUGGGGAAUCAGGACUGUUACUUUGAAAAAUUAGAGUGUUUAAAGCAGGCUCACGCUUGAAUACAUUAGCAUGGAAUAAUGAAAUAGGACGUUUGAUUCUAUUUUGUUGGUUUCUAGGAUCGACGUAAUGAUUAAUAGGGAUAGUUGGGGGCAUUAGUAUUCAAUUGUCAGAGGUGAAAUUCUUGGAUUUAUUGAAGACUAACUACUGCGAAAGCAUUUGCCAAGGAUGUUUUCAUUAAUCAAGAACGAAAGUUAGGGAUCGAAGACGAUCAGAUACCGUCGUAGUCUUAACCAUAAACUAUGCCGACUAGGGAUCGGAUGAUGUUAAUUUUUAAUGUACUCAUUCGGCGCCUUACGGGA
rnacentral:misc_RNA from 1 species